rnacentral:lncRNA from 1 species
GACUCAGGGCUGCGGCCGGGGUCCUGCGGGGUAGGAGCGCGAGGCCGGCCUGAGGGAGGAGGCCUAGCGACCCAUCCGGCGCCUCCCGCCCCGGGCACCCGCCCGCGGCCGCGCAUCCUGCGGGCCCCAGGAGGCCUCCAUCUCAAAACAACGUGUUUUUAGGUAAUUUCAAACUUAGGGAAAAGCUUCAAGAAUAAUACCGAAAAUGUCAGUGUCCCCAGCACCUAGAUCCCCCAGUUAAAUCCUUUUCCAUUUCACCGCGCUGCCCCCCGCCCCCUGGACGGUUAUGUGGCCGCGUGGGGUUGGCUCUGCCCAGGGCCGCGGUCACUGCACAGAACGCCCUGCACGUAAGGGGCUCCGCCUGGGUAAGACCCCGCCCAGCUGGGCAGGAGGAGGGCGUGGGCCCAGGACAUGGAGACCAGCCUGGGCAACAUAGCGAGACCCCAUCUCUGCAGAAAUAAAAUAUUAGCCGGACGGUGCACGGUGGCUCAGGCCUGUAAUCCCGGCACUUUGGGAGGCCGAGGUGGGAGGAUGGCCUGAGGUUAGUGUCUCACAUGUCUGUGUGAAGAGACCACCAAACAGGCUUUGUGUGAGCAACAAGGCUGUUUAUUUCACCCGGGUGCAGCCCGGCUGAGUCGGAAAAGAGAGUCAGCAAAGGGCGAUGGGAUUAUCAUUAGUUCUUACAGGUUUUGGGAUAGACGGUGGAGUUAGGAGCAAUGUUUUGCAGGCAGGUGGUGGAUCUCAUAAGGUACAUUCUCAAGGGUGGGGAGAAUUACAAAGAACCUUCUUAAGGGUAGAGGAGAUUACAAAGUACAUUGAUCAGUUAGGAUGGGGCAGAAACAAAUUACAAGGGUGGAAUGUCAUCAGUUAAGGCUGUUUUCACUUCUUUUGUGGAUCUUCAGUUGCUUCAGGCCAUCUGGAUGUAUACAUGCAGGUCACUGGGGAUAUGAUGGCUUAGCUUGGGCUCAGAGGCCUGACAGGAGUUCAAGACCAGCCUGGUGAACAUGACGAAACCCUGUCUCUACAAAAAUAAGAAAUGAACGCAGCAUGGUGGCAUGCACCUGCAGUCCCAGCCUCUUGGGAGGUGGAGGCAUAAGUCAGCUGUGAAUGCGCCCUGCACUAGAGCCUGGGCAGCAGAGCAGACCCUUCCUCAAACCCAAAAAGCGUCGUGCCAACCAGACCAGAUGGUCGCCUAAUCAAUAGAGACCAUGCCCAAUCAGGUAAGGACAGACACAACCAGGCAUGCUUUUUCUUGUUUUGUUUUUUGUUUGUUGUUUUGAGAUGGAGUUUCACUCUUGUUGCCCAGGCUGGAGUGCAGUGGUGUGAUCUCGGCUCACCGGAACCACCACCUCCUGGGUUCAAGCGAUUCUCCUGCCUCAGUCUCCCAAGUAGCUGGGAUUACAGGCAUGCACCACCAGGCCCGGCUAAUUUUGUAUUUUUAGUAGAGACGGGGGUUUCUCCAUAUUGGUCAGGCUGGUCUCAAACUCCCAACCUCAGGUGAUCUGCCUGCCUCGGCCUCCCAAAGUACUGGCAUUACAGGCGUGAGCCACUGCGCCCAGCUUGUUGUUUUUCUUUAGACAGUGUCUUCCUCUGUGGCUCAGGCUGAAGGGCACUGGGAUGAUCACAGCUCACUGCAGCCUCCACCUCCCAGGCUCAAGCCAUCCUUCUUCCUCAGGCUCCUGAGUAGCGGGAGCUACAGGCAUGCGCCAUCAUGCCUGGCUAAUUUUUGUAUUUUUUGUAGAUACGGGGUUUUGCUAUGUAGCCCAGGCUGGUCUUGAACUCCUGACCUCAGGUGAUCCCUCUGCCUCAGCUUCCCAAAGCGCUGGGAUUACAGAACAUGAGCCACUGUGCCCGGCUUAUUGUACAGUCUUUACUCUCGGUUUUCACCAGAGAACUCAAGGGCUGUGAAAAGAGCAGGACCUCACCAGCUGCACGGCGGUGGUGACUGGCUCCAUCUUGCUGUCCCUCCCAAUCACACAACAUCUCCCCUUGAAGGCUCUGCCCAGGCCCGGACUCCCACCUUUCAAGAUGUCUGGAUCAGUGCAGGACCUCCUCCUUGGCCACAUCGCUCUCCUUGGACUGGUUCGUUAACCCUGUUUUACCCACAUUUUCUUUUUUUUUCUUUUUCUUUUUUUUUUUUUUUCUGAGACAGAGUUUCAUUCUUGUUGCCCAGGCUGGAGUGCAAUGACUCGGUCUCGGCUCAUUGCAACCUCCGCCUUGCAGGUUCAAGUGAUUCUCCCACCUCAGCCUCCCAAGUAGGAUUACAGGUACACACCACCACGCACAGCUAAUUGUUUUGUAUUUUAGGAAGAGAUGGGGUUUCAUCAUGUUAGCCAGGCUGGUCAGGUGAUCCAUCCGCCUUGGCCUCCCCAAGUGCUGGGAUUACAGGCGUGAGGCACUGUGCCCGGCCUGCCCCCCUUUUCUCUUGAUGUAAGUGGACAUUUUAAUCCAUAAUCUGUAACAUUUAUGUAUUAAGUUUACUACUAUCUUUGGUUUGCAGUGUUGACUCACCUGUGGAGUGGUCUGAGCCUGAAUGCCCGGGGCUGUGGCCACCGAGUGAACGGGCUGUGCUAAGGGGAAUUGCCACCUUGGGAAACCUGUGUAGUUGCGGCUUUUCUGAUUAAGUAUCAAUAAAAGUCUGACCUUGUGAAAAAAGCAAACGUGAGUGGCCCUGCUUAUGUUUCACCUUGCGUUGCUCAGUGAUAGUUCUGCAAAGUCGCAGGAAACCUGGAAUCAUCUAAUUAUCGUGAGUGUUGGCACAUGACAGCCUUCUUGCAAUCAAGAAACUACGUGUGGCCAGGAUCUCAUCCACUAUCACAGUUUCAGCUUUCCCCAAACUGGAAUGUGUCUUUGCAGACGCCCAUCCUUAUUAAAGGGCAAAGACUUCUCAUACACCUAGGAUGGAUCUUAUAUUCUUGGCGGGACUGCAGAGAAGGUGCCGUGUCCUGAGUCCUCAUGUCAGGGCACAGGCUUCCAGCCAGUUCUACCUGGGUUAUGUUUAUCUCAAUUCCCUGGUGGUAUUGGUGUCUGCUGGGUUUUGCCAGAAUGAAGACACCGUGUUUUCAUUUGUCAGUUGAUUCGUAUUUUCCAGGAAGACAUUCUGAGAUUACAGCAUUGUCUUAGUCAAGGUGCUGCAGAAGGACAGAACUAAUAGGAUAUAUGUACAUAUGAAAGAAAGUUUAUGAAGAACUGGCUCACACCAUCACAAGGCAAAGUCCCAUGACAGGCCAUCUGCAAGCUGAGGAGCGAGGAAGCCAGCAGUGGCUCAGCCGGAGUCCAACAGCCUCAAACGGAAUCCAACAGUUCAGGCUUCAGUCUGUGGCCAAAUGCCCAGAGACCCCGGAAAGCUACUGGUGUUAGUCCCAGAGCCGGAAGGCCAAAGAACCUGGAGUGUGAUGUCCAAGGGCAGGAGGAAUGGACAGAAGCAUCCAGCAUGGGGUAAAGACGAAAGCCAGAAGACUCAGCAAGCUAGCUUACCUACUUUCUUCUGCCUGCCUUGUUCUAGCCGCGCUGGCAGCCGGUUGGAGGGUGCCCACCCCCACUGAGGGUGGAUCUUCCUCUCCUAGUCCACUGACUCAAAUUUCAGUCUCUCUGGGAGCACCAUCACACCAGAAACAAUACCAGCCAUCUAGCCACCCUUCAGUUCACCAUCACAACCAUUGUCUUAUUCAUGAAACUUCUGCAGACCCACCUUAACCUCCAUCGGUGACUUCUACCUGAAGCCCUCUGAUUGUUGCCCAGUGGUGCUUUUUAAAAUAAUUUCCAUAGUUUCUUCUACACCUUUAGUUGGCAUUCUACUGUAAAGGAGAGAUUUUAUUUUCUUACUCAUUUAUUUGUUAGUUUAUAGUCACCACCAUAUGGAUGCAGAGUUCUGUCUCAUUCACUGGGAAGUAUUCUAUUGCAGUCAUGAUUUAUUUUGAUGUUCACAUCCCAGAGUUGGUGAGUGAGCGCCCCUUCACGCUGGCUCCCGAGUGCUGACGUGUCCCCGUCCUUCUCUGCACUUUUCCUUACCUCCUGGCCUCAGAUAUUCCAGGGUCAUUUGUUCUCUCCCUGCUCCAACCCUGCAGUCAGCCAUCUCCCUAGGGACGUUGGUUCCUUUAUGGAAGGUGGCAUUUAGAAGCCAGGAUUUGGGCUGAGCACUGUGGCUCAUGCUUGUAAUCCCAGCACUUGGGGAGGCCGAAGUGGGCGGAUCGCUGGAGGCCAAGAGUCUGAGACCAGCCUGGCUAACAUGGUGAAACCCUUCCCCGUCUCUACUACAAAUAAAAAAUUAGCUGGGUGUGUUGGCACGUGCCUGUAAUCCCAGUUACUCAGGAGGCUGAAGCACCAGAAUCUCUUGAACCCAGGAGGCCGAGGUUGCAGUGAGCCAAGAUUGCACCACUGCACUACAGCUUGGGUGACAGCGCGAGACACCGUCUCAAAAAGGAUAAUAAUUUAAAAAACAGCAGGAUUUGGGUGAGCAGUGCGCUCAUUGCUUCUGGGCUCUCUCGGUGGACAUAGGCUAGGAAUGUAAGAUGUAUGUGCCUGUGUAUAUACACACGUCUGUAGCUAUGUCUAUGUUGCAUACAUGUGUUUUUCCAAAAACCAAAUCCAUAACCAUGCCUUCAGUUUCAGCCCAACACCUCCGGGCUCUUUCUAGCUUUCUACCUUUCAUGAUUGUGAAUACCUUCUCCAGCAGUGAGAAACCUGGCUCCUUUGUCCUCAGUGGAUUUUCUUAUUUGCUCAAUUUUUUUGUUUUUUGUUUUGUUUUUGUUUUUGAGACAGAGUCUUGUUCUGUCACCCAAGCUGGAGUGCAGUGGCAUAAUCUCGGCUUACCGCAACCUCUGCCUCCUGGGUUCAAGCGAUACUCCUGCGUCAGCAUCCCGAGUAGCUGGGAUUACAGGCAUGUGCCACCAUGCCUGGCUAAUUUUUGUAUUUUUAGUAGAAACGGAGUUUCACCAUGUUGGUCAGGCUGGUCUCGAACUCCUGACCUCGUGAUCUGGGUGCCUUGGCCUCCCAAAAUGCUGGGAUUACAGGCGUGAGCCACCACACUCGGCCAAGUCAGAAUUUUAAGUUUCAUCUUUUUUGUAAUUAAUUGAACACCUGCAUUCAAAGAAACAGAGAAGUACCACCACGCAUAAGUAAGGUGGCCAUGGCGUACCUAGGUUUCUCAGCCUAUCAAGCUUAGGGGCUUCUUUUUACGUGAAGUCCUCCUAAGACAGCCUCUGAUAGCUGCCUUGUGGUCAGCAGGGAAGAAGGGCCUUGUAAUAGCACGACUCUGCAGGGAGGCGGGCAGCUCUCAUGGCCUUAGUUUGCAGACCUCGAGAUGUCCACUAGAAAGGAGGAGAUCGUGGCUGGCUGCGGUGGCUCACGCCUGUAAUCCCAGGAUUUUGGGAGGCCGAGGCAGGCGGAUCACGGGAUCAGGAGAUCGAGACCAUCCUGGCUAAUGUGGUGAAACCCCGUCUCUACUAAAAAUACAAAAACUUAGCCGGGCGUGGUGGCGGGCGCCUGAGUCCCAGCCACUCGGGAGGCUGAGGCAGGAGAAUGGCGUGAACCCGGGAGGCAGAGCUUGCAGUGAGCCGAGAAUUGCGCCACUGCACUCCAGCCUGGGCGACAGAGCGAGACUUCGUCUCAAAAAAAAAAAAAAAAAAAAAAGAGGAGGUCGCAGCGUCUCCAGUAACACAUCAACUCCGCAACAAGGGGCCACAAGUGUUCCUCGCCAACGGGUCCCUGCUACGAUCCCUAUUUUAAAUAAGGGGAAACUGAGGCGUGGAGGGGGUAAGAAACAGAGAAGUCAGAAUUCAAACCUGGACGACGCCUGUUAGUUUUUUGGGAUUACAGGGGUAAGCCACUGUGCCCGGCCACACGUGUUAGUUUUUUGGGAUUACAGGGGUAAGCCACUGUGCCCGGCCAUGCCUGUUAGUUUUGUAACUCCAGCAUUCCUGUCUCUCCUGCAUUUGUCAAUAGCACUAGUCCUUUGUGGUGAGUUUUUUUUUUUUUUUUUUUUUUUUUUUUGGAGACAGGGUCUUCCUCUAUCGCCCAGGAGUGCAAUGGUGCGAUCUUGGCUCACUGCAACUUCCAUCUCCCAGGUUCAAGCAAUUCUCCUGCCUCAGCCUCCCGAGUAGCUGGAAUUACAAGCACCCACCACCACGUUCAGCUAAUUUUUGUGUUUUUGGUAGAGACAGGGUUUUGCCAUUUUGGCCAGGCUGGGCUCGAACUCCUGGCCUCAAGAGAUCCGACCACCUCGGCCUCCCAAAGUGCUGGGGUUACAGGUGUGACCCACUGCGCCCAGCCUUUUUUUUUUUUUUUUUAAUACAGAUUGGGUCUUGCUAUGUUGACCAGGCUGGUCUAGAACUCCUGGCCUCAAGCGAUUUUCCCACCUUGGCCUCCCAAGGUGCUGAGAUUACAGGCAUGAGCCACCGUGCCCGGCCAGGACCACCCCUUUGGAGUGAUACCUCUCCCCAAUUUUAUGUGGCUCUGGUGGGUCAUCCCUCAGUGUCCACUUAACAGUGACAGUGACGUUAUGUCCUGCUUUUCCCAGAAGAGUCCCAGGUUAUGUUAACUGUUCUAGCAAAAUUAUUCAGAGCACCCCAUUUUCAGUCUCAGAAAUGUCUCCAUUAGUGUCAUGUGAAGUCACCCUAAACGAGGUCAAGAAAAUCAUCCAGGCUGGGCGUGGUGGCUCAUGCCUGUAAUCCCAGCACUGUGGGAGGCUGAGGCAGGUGGAUCACUUGAGGUCAGGAGUUCGAGGCCAGCCUGCCCAACAUGGUGAAACCCCGUCUCUACUAAAAAUACAAAAAUCAGUCAGGCGUGGUGGUGGCACCUGUAAUCCCAGCUACUCGGGAGGCUGAGGCACGAGAAUCACUUGAACCCGGGAAGCGGAGGUUGCAGUGAGACCAGAUCGUGCCACAGCACUCCAGCCUGGGCAAGAGUGAGACUGUCUCAAAAACAAACAAAAAAACUCCUCUUAGUUCAUGCGUGGAUUCUGAUGCAGGCUUGCAGGGAGACCCUCAGGUGCUGCCCAUGAGUAGCUGCGUUGACGGUAGCUGCUUCCUGGCUACCCCGAGGGGCUGCUCUGCAGUCAGGGGAGAGGGGCCGGCUCUCAGGGAAAGGCAUCAAGAACCACACUUGAGUUCCUGGAUCCGGGCACAUCUAAAAUUUAGGAGCCCAUAAACUCCCGUUUUCACAGAACCUAUUUUGAGUUGGGUUCUUGCCACAUGCAAUCAGAAGUCCUGGCCGACACACAACUUUGGCUUCAGCAGUCUCCCUGGGUGUCCCCACCCCAUCCCGUUCCCUGUGUUCAAAGGCGCUUGGGGCCAUCCUCCACUGUGAAACUCCCAGACACGCCAGCCCAGCUGCUUCAGGUGUGCGCUGGGAAAUUUUCACUCCCUGAAUUCCAAAAAUGAUGGCAGCCUCUGCCUCACCCUCAUAAACGCAACGUUUACAUUUAUUGUCCAGUUGUUUCAGGACGUGGAUUUUCUUUGUUUUGCUUUUUUUUUUUUUUUUUUUGAGACAAGAGUUUCACUU